UGUAGAGGAGAACAAAUGGCAGAGGAAUGAACACACGAAUUCUUAUAACCCGCCCUAAGUCAGAUUUUUCUUUUUUAACAAAAGAACACCUUGGAGUUUCAAUUAAACAGCUAACAACCACGAAUAAAAUCAUCGAGUAAAAGAAAACAAAACUAGAAUCAACAUGGUCUGAUAGAAGGAACUCUCUUCCCAUUUAAGCUCGAUCAACUAGCAAACAAACCACUUUUGACAGCCUAUGAUGAAGAAAACAAGCAGAGUGAACCUUCAAACCAUCUGAAAACCAACCCUUCACGUUUAUACACAGAAAAGAAAUCGAUUAUGGUCAGUUACUGAAAGAAAAGAUGGACGAACACAUAAUUACACGUUUCGAUGGAUUCUGGAAUUAGAAGACCAUAUGAACAUUAACAAGCACACAUAUGAAGUCAUAGAAGAAGAAAACUAAAAUCUCAAUUACUAGUCCAAAAUUCAGCCCAUUUUAUAGCGCUCAUUCAGAGAUCGACCUGCAAUGGGAACUAAAGCGAAGAAGAGAAAUGAACCUGGAAUCAAGAGACUGAACUAAUACUAUACUGAAACUGAUCGAAGAAAAGAAAACAGCAGCAGAACACCAUCUUUCUAGCAAUAGCACCCUCAAAUUUCUCAAGUGACUUCCAUUUUUAAACCACAAUCCAGAAUUAUAACUAAAAAUGAGCUCCAAAUAUUUCAAAGACAAAAACUCCGAACCAUAAUCUACAAGAAAAAUUAAAUUACAGCACUCUCAGUCAUUUUGUGUUCUACAAUAUCAGAAAUAUAUGAACAAAUAAAACUUAUCUCUCAAUUUUUCUCCUCUCGACUAAAAACCGGCUUUGGUCCUUUAUCAAAACGAAUCCUUGAUGAAUGUGCCGCUCGGAUUCAAUGAAAUCAAUCCAACACCUCACACUUAUCCAGCAAAUCGUUUUUAGGACCUUCCAAUCACGUGCUCUUUCUCGAAAAUGAACGAGGGAAAGGAAGGAGAAUAUUCGGUGUCAGAAACCGUUAUCUGUGGUGAGAGGAAGGAUAGAGGAACGCGUAGGUUAGGGAUUGAGAUCUACUCGCCAUGGAAUUUGGGCUGGAAUGGAGGUUGGGUUCGUGGAGAAGAAGAACAGUACGCAGGUUAGGGAUUUGGGAUUUUGGGGGUCUCAGGCGUGUGUGAGUAUUAGAGACAUGUUGGGUAUUUGGGCUGGACGGGGUCACCUGGUUUGGG
rnacentral:lncRNA from 1 species